UACGGGGGGGGCAAGCGUUGUUCGGAAUUACUGGGCGUAAAGGGCGCGUAGGCGGUUUGCUAAGUUGGAUGUGAAAACUCUGGGCUUAACCCAGAGCCUGCAUCCAAAACUGGCAAGCUGGAGUUUUGGAGGGGGAAGCGGAAUUCCUGGUGUAGCAGUGAAAUGCGUAGAUAUCAGGAGGAACACCGGUGGCGAAGGCGGCUUCCUGGACAAAAACUGACGCUGAGGCGCGAAAGCUAGGGGAGCAAACAGG
rnacentral:rRNA from 2 species